rnacentral:rRNA from 1 species
AUUGAACGCUGGCGGCAGGCCUAACACAUGCAAGUCGAGCGGAUGAAGGGAGCUUGCUCCUGGAUUCAGCGGCGGACGGGUGAGUAAUGCCUAUGAAUCUGCCUGGUAGUGGGGGAUAACGUCCGGAAACGGGCGCUAAUACCGCAUACGUCCUGAGGUAGAAAGUGGGGGAUCUUCGGACCUCACGCUAUCAGAUGAGCCUAGGUCGGAUUAGCUAGUUGGUGGGGUAAAGGCCUACCAAGGCGACGAUCCGUAACUGGUCUGAGAGGAUGAUCAGUCACACUGGAAGUGAGACACGGUCCAGACUCCUACGGGAGGCAGAAGUGGGGAAUAUUGGACAAUGGGCGAAAGACUGAUCAAGCGAUGCAGCGUGUGUGAAGAAGGUCUUCGGAUUGUAAAGCACUUUAAGUGGGGAGGAAGGGCAGUAAGUUAAUACCUUGCUGUUUUGACGUUACCAACAGAAGAAGCACCGGCUAACUUCGUG